rnacentral:rRNA from 2 species
UGGGGAAUUUUGGACAAUGGGCGCAAGCCUGAUCCAGCAAUGCCGCGUGCAGGAAGAAGGCCUUCGGGUUGUAAACUGCUUUUGUCAGGGAAGAAAUCCUUUGGGCUAAUACCUCGGAGGGAUGACGGUACCUGAAGAAUAAGCACCGGCUAACUACGUGCCAGCAGCCGCGGUAAUACGUAGGGUGCGAGCGUUAAUCGGAAUUACUGGGCGUAAAGCGUGCGCAGGCGGCUUUGCAAGACAGAGGUGAAAUCCCCGGGCUCAACCUGGGAACUGCCUUUGUGACUGCAAGGCUAGAGUACGGCAGAGGGGGAUGGAAUUCCGCGUGUAGCAGUGAAAUGCGUAGAUAUGCGGAGGAACACCGAUGGCGAAGGCAAUCCCCUGGGCCUGUACUGACGCUCAUGCACGAAAGCGUGGGGAGCAAACA